rnacentral:tRNA from 1 species
GUUUCAGUAGUAUAGUGGUUAUCACAUUCGCAUCACAUGCAAAAGGUCUCUGGUUCAAAACCAGACAGAAACA